rnacentral:misc_RNA from 1 species
AGCAGCCGCGGUAAUUCCAGCUCCAAUAGCGUAUAUUAAAGUUGUUGCAGUUAAAAAGCUCGUAGUUGAAUUUCGGGAUUGACACAUCGGUCGUGCCUUAAGGGGUAUGAACUGGUGUAGUCAAUUUCUCACCUUCUGGAGAACCGCGAUGCCCUUAAUUGGGUGCCGCGGGGAACCAGGACCUUUACUUUGAAAAAAUUUAGAGUGUUUAAAGCAGGCAUUUUGCUUGAAUACAUUAGCAUGGAAUAAUAAAAUAGGACGGCAUGAUUCUAUUUUGUUGGUCUCUAGGAUCACCGUAAUGAUUAAUAGGGAUAGUUGGGGGCAUUAGUAUUCAAUUGUCAGAGGUGAAAUUCUUGGAUUUAUUGAAGACUAACUACUGCGAAAGCAUUUGCCAAGGAUGUUUUCAUUAAUCAAGAACGAAAGUUAGGGGAUCGAAGACGAUCAGAUACCGUCGUAGUCUUAACCAUAAACUAUGCCGACUAGGAAUCAGACGAUGUUAAUUUUUUAAUGGCUCGUUUGG